AUGGCGUACCAGUACCACCACCAGGACCACACGGCGGCCGCGCUGGGGAUGGACCCGGCGGCGGCGGCGGGGAACCCCGGCGGCGGCUUCGCGCCAGGCCUGGGCGCGGGCGCGCCCGGCGGGUGGGAGAGGGAGAAGGCGGCCAUCGAGGCGCACCCGCUGUACGAGCGGUUGCUGGAGGCGCACGUCGCCUGCCUGCGCGUCGCCACCCCCGUCGACCAGCUCCCGCGCAUCGACGCGCAGAUCGCCGCGUGCGCCCCGCCGCCCAUGACCCCCGCCGCCGCGCCCUCCGGCGGCGAGGAGCUCGACCUCUUCAUGGUGAGCUGCUACUACGAGGCCUCCUCGCCUCACGCCGGCCGCGUACGGACGCCCCGCGUCGGCUGGGCCGGGCUGCUCCGCGCGUGCUGUAUUUUGAACUGGCUGGGUGGCAGUGAAAGCCAGGACGCACUAUCUGAAGUUCUGGCUGGCAUCACGUCUCCCCUUGACACUGAGUUCUUUUGCAGAAGUGCUCAUUCUGCAGCUAUGUAUGCUGUCACCUCCAUGAUCUGCUAUGCUGAUGACCGCUACGUCUGCUUUGCUCGAGACGAGGACAAGUGGGUCAUAUAUGGCUUCGAGACUGUCGAGCCAACAGCAGCAGCAGAGGCAAUCAGUAGUCGAGGUGAUCGAGGGCAGAGGCAAUCAACAGACGAGGGCAGGUGGCAGUGGCAUCAGCAGGUCUGCGUGGUCAUCUCGUCGGCGGGGAAGAUCCGCCUGGCCCUGCCUGCCGAAUUCUUCAAGAGGGGAGCGGCGACCGGGGUCGGCAGCGGCGGCUGGGGUUGCCUCGGGGGUGAAGAACCGGCGAGCAGGGCCAGGGACGCGAGCAGGGCCACGAGGAGGAGGCGCCCGUCGAGGUGGUCGCCUUGGGGGAGCAGCCUCAGCUGGGCGGCGGGGCAGCUCGCCUCCGUGCGGACGGCCACGUUCGCAGCGGCGGGGCAGCUCGCCUCCGUGUGGACGACCCACAUUCGCAGCGGCGGAGCAACCGCAGGGUUCAUACCGAUAAAUCCUUCAGCCAAGCGGCCUUCUACAAGGAUAUGCGUGCAGCUUGGAACCCUGCGCAGCCGGAAUUUGCUUGUGUUGAUGGUUCCAUAUGAUGGGUUCACAAAGGCGGAGGAAGUGCCCAUGGUGUUUAUGCCAAUUUGGCUACAGAUUCACAAGAUUCCAGAGGGUUUCUGCAGGAAGAACAUUGUGGAAAAUCUGCUAAAAAACUCAGGUGAGAUCUUGGAGAUGAGACUAAAUGGAAAUACCCGUGGUGACUACAUUAGGGUUAGGGUUCGGCAUGAGGUUCGCCGGCCUCUCACCAAUGUAUGUGGGCUCAUUGGUCAUGACUGCAAAGAGUGCGGAUCAGGUGUGCAUGAGGAGAAGGACAAGAAGUAUGGCUCUUGGCUCUAUGCGGAUGGAUUGAAUAAACCCCCGUCCAAUGAUAGUUUUGGCCAGGGAAGGAGUCAGAAGCAACCUACACCUCAAUCUCAACAGCAGAAGUCGCCUGGAAAGACAGUGGUCGAUCCGGACAUCCUAGAUACGGCUACAAGCCCAGCCAAGGAAGGACACAUAUCCAAGCAUGGAGACCCGGUAGCUCGCAAAAGACUCUCUAUGGAUGAUGUAGCACCAGGGGCCAAUGCCUUGGCAAGGCCGAGUGGUCUGUUGACGCUCACACAGGGGAAGGGUGAGGAUGGAGAACAUGCCUCGCCUACAGUAGCACUAGCAGCAAGAGGGCUCGUGUUGACUCAAGCGGCCUCUUCGAAGAUGGAGAAACUAAAGUGGAGAUUGCAGAUGAAGGGUUUUGCUGGUGUCUCGAGUGAUGGUCUCAGUGGAGGACUUGCGCUCUUUUGGGAUGAGAAGUUGCAAGUGACAGUGUUGGAUUCCUGUGCACGGUACAUUGACGUGCGGAUUGUAGAUGUGGCAAGUGACAAGAUUUGGAGAACGACUUUUGUUUAUGGUGAACCUCGAGCUGAAAACCGUCAUCUCAUGUGGAGCUCACUCUCCCAGCUCCGUGCGCUCUCGUCGGAGUCGUGGUUAGUGUGUGGCGACUUCAACGAGGCGAUGUGGCAGCAUGAGCAUAUGUCUAGAUCCCAGCGCUCUGAAAAUCAGAUGGGGCUAUUCUGGGACUGUUUGUUGGCAUGCGAACUGUGGGACCUCGGUUUCUCGGGGUAUCCUUUUACAUAUGAUAAUGGACAGCUUGGUGAGAGGAACGUGCGAGUUCGCCUUGACCGGGCAUGUGCGGAUGAGAGUUGGAGGGAGCUUUUCCCUGCCGCGCAAGUUGUUCACCUGGCAUCUUCAUGUUCUGACCAUUGCCCGAUCUUGGUUCAGCUUGCUCUCGUGGAUCCGAGGAGGACUAGAGCCUCUCCUCGGUAUGAGAUCGUGUGGGAACGCCACCCGGCACUGUCAGAGGUGGUGGCGAGUAGAUGGAGGAAGAGUAAACCAGCCGGCAAUCUGGCAGCCGUGCGGGACGCCCUGCAUGAAAUGAUGAAUGGCCUUCGGGCGUGGAGUAAGGAGAACUUCGGUCAUGCUGCUACAGAAUUGGAGAAGUUAAGGGCGGAGCUGGCUGAUUUACAACUAAAAGAUGCGGACAGAACGUUGAUCCGUCAGAAGAUGUUUCAGCUUGAUGAGCUGGAAGAGAUGAUGUGGUUACAGAGAUCGCGCAUUACGUGGCUGAAGGAAGGAGAAAGGAACACGGCAUACUUGCAUAGGCGAGCUUUGUGGCGUGCGCGAAGGAAUUACAUAUAG
rnacentral:rRNA from 1 species